rnacentral:rRNA from 1 species
AUUGAACGCUGGCGGCAUGCCUAACACAUGCAAGUCGAACGGCAGCACGGCAGUAGCAAUACUGUGGGUGGCGAGUGGCGGACGGGUGAGGAAUACGUCGGAAUCUGCCCAGUCGUGGGGGAUAACUAGCCGAAAGGUUAGCUAAUACCGCAUACGACCGAGAGGUGAAAGCGGGGGACCGCAAGGCCUCGCGCGAUUGGAUGAGCCGACGUCGGAUUAGCUAGUUGGUGGGGUAAAGGCCCACCAAGGCGACGAUCCGUAGCUGGUCUGAGAGGAUGAUCAGCCACACUGGAACUGAGACACGGUCCAGACUCCUACGGGAGGCAGCAGUGGGGAAUAUUGGACAAUGGGCGCAAGCCUGAUCCAGCAAUGCCGCGUGUGUGAAGAAGGCCUCGG